rnacentral:rRNA from 1 species
CGACCGGCGCACGGUGAGUAACGCGUAUGCAACUUACCUAUCAGGAGGGGAGUAACCCGGCGAAAGUCGGACUAAUACCGCAUGAAGCAGGGGCCCCGCAUGGGGAUAUUUGCUAAAGAUUCAUCGCUGAUAGAUAGGCAUGCGUUCCAUUAGGCAGUUGGCGGGGUAACGGCCCACCAAACCGACGAUGGAUAGGGGUUCUGAGAGGAAGGUCCCCCACAUUGGUACUGAGACACGGACCAAACUCCUACGGGAGGCAGCAG